UGUGAGUAUCUGCACUCGUGCUUGUUUGGAGGAAAAGAAAACCCAAACAGAAUCGGAGGGAAUUAGGUGCCAAGAAAGACCUGAUCUCGGGGAAAGGAGACAGCCAAAACAAAAGCAACCCCACCCACCAGUGGCUCACAACUGCUCCUCACACACUGCAGUAAGCGCCUGACGGCUUAGCCCCUGUUUACACUCACUACAAUAAUUGCAACACGACGCAUAAUGUUCAAAUUAGUUCUGAAAAAGUAUUUGUUCCACUUGUUUAUAUCCUCUAAAUCCUUGAAUCUUUGGACUCUGCUACGUGGAGGGAACUUGGCCAAGGGAUCUUUUUAAGAAAUACAUCUUAUAAGAGCCUUUCGGAAACAUCCCCAACAAGACAUCAUCAAGGCUGUGUGUGAGGGCUGACUCUCUUCAGGAAUCAACCAACUAGACCGUGGGAGCCCAGUGGAACGCCAGCUCUUUCUUGACCUCAAGUCUCAAGCUGGCAGCGGGCUGAAGUUCUGGAGAACCUGAUUAACUCACUGGAGUAAAGCAUUUCCAAGAUGAUGUAUUCAGAGUCCACAUCCCCAAAGAAGUCUCAGGCCAAGCAAUUAGCAAACAGAGAAACUGAGAGCCAGACCCAGGGCCUUUUGGCUUUUUCUGCCUUCUCUGUGUUCACCCCCAUUUGUUCACAGGAAGCAAUCGCUGAACACAGCUGACACUUUGAGGUUCUUGAAUGCUUUGCAGUAACCUCAGUGAUAAAAUCUACACCCAACAUCUCUGUCCCUCACAACGUGUGUUCCCAGCAGAAGACAGCAAAAGAAACAGCGUCUUGUAUGGUGUCUCUGGUCGACUUUGCCCUCACUUUGCCAUUCUUAGGUAUCUGAGUUUUCAAGGAGUAGCCCGUCUGUCCUACGCCCUGUUGUUACCACCUAUUUGGCUUAAUGUAUGUCCAAUGGUUGAAGGAAGAAAUCUACCUUUAAAUGCUGCAAAUUAGCCCUUCCCAUGAAACCAGGGCAACAUCACAUAAUAACAUCCAUGAAAUAACAUCUCACUCUAACGGCCAAUAAAUACCAAAUCUAAUCACAUGACUAGUUUGAUUUGUCGGAGAUCGAAGCUGCUUAUUUUUUAAUGAACUUGAAUAUACACGAACUCCUCUGCCUGACAUCACUACCUAGUAAAAGCUUCCGUUCAUCUCACUUUGGUUCCUCCGAAAACCUGAACACAGGCACCAUGAUACACAGAGCUCAAAUGAUAUACUUCUGUGAAUCUAAGAGUUCUAAGAUUAAAUCUGGGAUCCCAAUUGGUUAGAUGAUGUAGGAUCAUGGACAAAUCUC